rnacentral:rRNA from 1 species
AUGAACGCUGGCGGCGUGCCUAAUACAUGCAAGUCGAGCGAACAGACAAGGAGCUUGCUCCUCUGACGUUAGCGGCGGACGGGUGAGUAACACGUGGAUAACCUACCUAUAAGACUGGGAUAACUUCGGGAAACCGGAGCUAAUACCGGAUAAUAUAUUGAACCGCAUGGUUCAAUAGUGAAAGACGGUUUUGCUGUCACUUAUAGAUGGAUCCGCGCCGCAUUAGCUAGUUGGUAAGGUAACGGCUUACCAAGGCAACGAUGCGUAGCCGACCUGAGAGGGUGAUCGGCCACACUGGAACUGAGACACGGUCCAGACUCCUACGGGAGGCAGCAGUAGGGAAUCUUCCGCAAUGGGCGAAAGCCUGACGGAGCAACGCCGCGUGAGUGAUGAAGGUCUUCGGAUCGUAAAACUCUGUUAUUAGGGAAGAACAAAUGUGUAAGUAACUAUGCACGUCUUGACGGUACCUAAUCAGAAAGCCACGGCUAACUACGUG